AUAUCAGUCAUGCAUAGCAUAUCAAUAAGCGGAGGAAAAGAAACUAACUAGGAUUCCCUCAGUAACGGCGAGUGAAGCGGGAAGAGCUCAAAUUUGAAAUCUUCAAGGUUCUACCUUGACGAAUUGUAGUUUAUAGAAGUGUUUUCUGUUAGUAGAGUGGCAAAAGUUCUUUGGAAUAGGACAUCAUAGAGGGUGAGAAUCCCGUAUUUGGUCAUUCUUUCUAGCUUUGUGAUACACUUUCAACGAGUCGGAUUGUUUGGGAAUGCAGUCCAAAAUGGGUGGUAAAUUUCAUCUAAAGCUAAAUAUUGGCGAGAGACCGAUAGCGAACAAGUACCGUGAGGGAAAGAUGAAAAGAACUUUGAAAAGAGAGUUAAACAGUACGUGAAAUUGUCAAAAGGGAAGCGUUUGACACCAGUGUUGUUUUUCCGAGAAUCAAUUACGAAUGUUUUAGUUUUUAAGAAGUUAUGACUUCAUCGGCUUGCUUCUCUCUUUACUGAAACUUUCUUAAUGCACUUUUCGGUUAACAAGUCAACAUCAAUUUCUUUUGUUGUAAAAGGGUAUGAGGAAGGUGGCUUUCUUUUCGGAGAAAGUGUUUAUAGCCUUGUGCCUCUGCAAUCGGAGAGAUUGAGGUCUGCAGCGUAGAUCCUUCGGGGUUAGAUACGUUUGUGCUAAGUUAUAGCUUUUCAUAGACAACUUGUUGACUAUGUUUAGUCUUGUAGCUUACUCGCUGACGCUAUUUUACCUACGCUUAGGAUGUUGAUCUCUCACAGUCGAGC
rnacentral:rRNA from 1 species